UUUUCUAACCAAUUGAGUAAUUUGUUUCAGUUGAACCCAGGUACCUUUCUCUCUGGCUUCUUUUUCUGAUCAUUUUCCUUCACGUGUUUCGGGAAGCUAUCUCAGCUCUUAGAGCGCUUAUGUGCUCAAUACGCACAUUAAUUCUCUUGGCAAGAAUCUUGCCCUUCUUUGUUUACAACAAUGCCAACAGCAUGUUGGGUAACAUUGUAGACUCUUCCAGUUUUGCCGUGGUGACACUUGUGGGCAUUCCUUUUUAAACAAUAUCCAUUCUCUUGAUGUCUACAAUAUCACCUUUCUUAUAGAUUCGCAUAUACAUGGCCAAAGGAACAACUCCAUGUUUUCUAAAAGGCCUAGAGAACAUACAUCAGGUGCCUUUCUUCUUUUCCUUUGCGUUCAUUAU
rnacentral:lncRNA from 1 species